UGUAGAUGUAGCUUAGUGGUAGAGCACCGGACUCAUAAGCCGGUUGGAUGUGCGUUCGAUUCCCACCAUCUAGAUC
rnacentral:tRNA from 1 species